rnacentral:tRNA from 4 species
CGCGGGGUGGAGCAGCUUGGUAGCUCGUCGGGCUCAUACCCCGAAGGUCGUCGGUUCAAAUCCGGCCCCCGCAACCA